GUGCUCAUUUCAACAGCACAUAUACUAAAAUUGGAACAAUGCAAAGAAGAUUUAUGCAAAGAUGACAUACAAAUUCAUGAAGUGUUCCAUAUUUUU
rnacentral:snRNA from 1 species